GAUGAACGCUGGCGGCGUGCCUAAUACAUGCAAGUCGAGCGAACGGACGAGAAGCUGGCUCCUCUGAGGUUAGCGGGGGACGGGUGAGUAACACGUGGAUAACCUACCUAUAAGACUGGGAUAACUUCGGGAAACCGGAUCUAAUACCGGAUAAUAUUUUGAACCGCAUGGUUCAAAAGUGAAAGACGGUCUUGCUGUCACUUAUAGAUGGAUCCGCCCUGCAUUAGCUAGUUGGUAAGGUAACGGCUUACCAAGGCAACGAUGCAUAGCCGACCUGAGAGGGUGAUCCGCCACACUGGAUCUGAGACACGGCCCAGACUCCUACGGGAGGCCGCAGUAGGGAAUCUUCCGCAAUGCGCGAAAGCCUGACGGAGCACCGCCGCGUGAGUGAUGAAGGUCUUCGGAUCGUAAAACUCUGUUAUUAGGGAAGAACAUAUGUGUAAGUAACUGUGCACAUCUUGACGGUACCUAAUCAGAAGGCCACGGCUAACUCCGUG
rnacentral:rRNA from 1 species